CUAAUAUGUGCUUUUGUGCUGAUCUUGUGCAAACUUCUUAAGCCUGCGCACCUGCUUUCUCAUGUCCUGUCGGUGGAAAUCAUGGAGCCUCGGGGUAAGAGGGACAUGGGGACAGCUCCAUGGGGACAGCUCCCUGGAUCUCUAUGGCCUUUAAAGUAUAGGUGGGCCAACCGGCUCAUUUCAGUUGGACCAUUGGUCAUCCUCUUAAUUCUCGUGUGUCCCUUGGCUGAUUGUCUGGAUCCAUCAACUAUUGAUGAAGAUCCUAGCCUAUUUUGUUACCAGGACAGAGAUGCACACAGAAGUCUGUCUGUAUGCGUCUGUGCUUUCUUACUAACACGAUUAUCAAAAUUCAGUUCUCCUCUCCUAAGAGCGAGAGUGUUCUUCAGUGGGACCCACCUCUGUAGACACACUGAUGUUGAAGUGAUGGCUCUUGUUUACCAAUGUCAUAUUUGAUAUCCCCAUCUUUUCUGGCCUCUUGGAGGAUGGGUGGGGCCAUUUUGACUGUGUCUGACUACAAGCUGUAAGAGGAAGUGGUGUAGUUAACUUCCAGGUUGAAGCAUAGCCCCAGGUUGGGGGUGAGUGGGAUAUCUCUUUCCCUUUCAUGGUAAUUGUGGAAGCCAUACAUUUCAGAGAAUUCAGUUCUAAGAUGCAGAAUGGGCCACUAGCCUCCAUCCAUCAGCAAGUGACUGUGUGGAUUAGGGCAUAAGCCCCAUGCUAUCCUGCAGCCCCUACCAACUCACAAUGGGCAUAGAAUAAGCCUUUGUUAUGCUUAGGCCCUAAGGCUUCAGGGUCUAUUAGUUACUGCAACUCACCCAGCCUGGCCUCAUGGUUGAGGAUUUCUGCAUCAGCCAUGGGCUGGAGCUGACAGUGCUUUCACAGGGGGGCAGGCUGGGUGUUCCAUCUUUGCAGGACAUCCUUUGUGUGGCCCAGCCGUGAGACGCACUGCUGUUUGAACGCUGUACUGUAGAAGGCACAGACUGAGAUGCUGGAUCAACUGCGCAUGCCUGUCUUUGUGACCGGCUGCUAUCGAUCCUUCCGAGCCCGUGUGCCACGCUGGAAAGCUGCAUCUAAGAGUUAAGAUUUACUGGCUUAAAAGCGUGUGUGUCGUGGGAUUGCGCGGUGGCUCAGUAAGUAAGUGCUUGCCUUGCACACACAAAGACCUAACUGUUCAAUGUGCAGCUCCUAUGUUUAAAAAUCUAGUUGAGCAUUGUGGCACACACUUAUAAUCUCAGCUCUAAAGAAGCAAAGACCGUGGCUCCCUGGGGCUCACUGGUAGCCAGCAGCCAAACUGGUGAGUUGCAGGUAAAAGUGAGAGUUUUUUUUUUUUUUCUCACAAAACAUGAUGGAUUAUGAGGAACUACAGUUGAGAUUGUCCUCUGGUCUCCACAGACACAUAUGUACUCAUACCUAUACAUAGUCAUGCACCUGCAAACACACACACACACACACACACACACACACACACACACACACACACACUCACACACACACACUCACACACACACUCACAUACACUCACAUAUACACUCACAUACACACACACUAACAUAUACACACACUCACACACACUCACAUACACACACUCACAUACACACACACACUCACACAUACUCACACACACUCACACACACACACUCACAUACACACACUCACACACACACACUCACACACACACUCACAUACACACACUCACAUACACACACACACCAACAUACACACACACUCACACACACUCACAUACACACACACACACACACUCACAUACACACACUCACGUGCAUGCACACAGGUCAGGGUACAGCAUUUAGGCCCCAGGUUGGACAUCAGACUACAACCCUUUUUGAACUGACAUCCUAGCAGGCUCCUGGGCGAUGCAGAUGCUGGCAUUCUGGGCACUGCCCUUUGGAAAGCUAUG
rnacentral:lncRNA from 1 species